rnacentral:rRNA from 1 species
AGAAUCAACGCUGGCGGCGUGCCUAACACAUGCAAGUCGAACGAGAAAGUGGAGCAAUCCAUGAGUAAAGUGGCGCACGGGUGAGUAACACGUGACUAACCUACCUUCGAGUGGGGGAUAACCUCGGGAAACCGGGGCUAAUACCGCAUAACAUCUUUGGAGUGGAAAUUUCGGAGAUCAAAGGGGCAAUUCGCUUGAAGAGGGGGUCGCGGCUGAUUAGCUAGUUGGCGGGGUAACGCCCACCAAGGCUUAGAUCGGUA